AUUGAACGCUGGCGGCAGGCCUAACACAUGCAAGUCGGACGGUAGCACAGAGGAGCUUGCUCCUCGGGUGACGAGUGGCGGACGGGUGAGUAAUGUCUGGGGAUCUGCCCGAUAGAGGGGGAUAACCACUGGAAACGGUGGCUAAUACCGCAUAACGUCGCAAGACCAAAGAGGGGGACCUUCGGGCCUCCCACUAUCGGAUGAACCCGGAUGGGAUUAGCCAGUAGGCGGGGUAACGGCCCACCUAGGCGACGAUCCCUAGCUGGUCUGAGAGGAUGACCAGCCACACUGGAACUGAGACACGGUCCAGACUCCUACGGGAGGCAGCAGUGGGGAAUAUUGCACAAUGGGCGCAAGCCUGAUGCAGCCAUGCCGCGUGUAGGAAGAAGGCCUUCGGGUUGUAAAGUACUUUCAGCGGGGAGGAAGGCGAUGUGGUUAAUAACCGCGUCGAUUGACGUUACCCGCAGAAGAAGCACCGGCUAACUCCGUGCCAGCAGCCGCGGUAA
rnacentral:rRNA from 1 species